CUCGUAGGUGGCCAACUAAGUCAGACGUGAAAUCCCUCGGCUUAACCGGGGAACUGCGUCUGAUACUGGAUGGCUUGAGUUUGGGAGAGGGAUGCGGAAUUCCAGGUGUAGCGGUGAAAUGCGUAGAUAUCUGGAGGAACACCGGUGGCGAAGGCGGCGUCCUGGACCAAUACUGACACUGAGGAGCGAAAGCCAGGGAGCAAACG
rnacentral:rRNA from 1 species